rnacentral:rRNA from 1 species
AUUGAACGCUGGCGGCAUGCCUUACACAUGCAAGUCGAACGGUAACAGGUCUUCGGAUGCUGACGAGUGGCGAACGGGUGAGUAAUACAUCGGAACGUGCCUAGCAGUGGGGGAUAACUACUCGAAAGAGUGGCUAAUACCGCAUGAGAUCUACGGAUGAAAGCAGGGGAUCGCAAAACCUUGUGCUACUAGAGCGGCCGAUGGCAGAUUAGGUAGUUGGUGGGAUAAAAGCUUACCAAGCCGAUGAUCUGUAGCUGGUCUGAGAGGACGAUCAGCCACACUGGGACUGAGACACGGCCCAGACUCCUACGGGAGGCAGCAGUGGGGAAUUUUGGACAAUGGGCGAAAGCCUGAUCCAGCAAUGCCGCGUGCAGGAUGAAGGCCUUCGGGUUGUAAACUGCUUUUGUACGGAACGAAAAGCCCCGGGUUAAUACCCUGGGGUCAUGACGGUACCGUAAGAAUAAGCACCGGCUAACUACGUGCCAGCAGCCGCCGCAG